rnacentral:rRNA from 1 species
GACGAACGCUGGCGGCGUGCCUAAUACAUGCAAGUAGAACGCUGAAGGAGGAGCUUGCUCUUCUGGAUGAGUUGCGAACGGGUGAGUAACGCGUAGGUAACCUGCCUGGUAGCGGGGGAUAACUAUUGGAAACGAUAGCUAAUACCGCAUAAGAGUAGAUGUUGCAUGACAUUUACUUAAAAGGUGCAAUUGCAUCACUACCAGAUGGACCUGCGUUGUAUUAGCUAGUUGGUGGGGUAACGGCUUACCAAGGCGACGAUACAUAGCCGACCUGAGAGGGUGAUCGGCCACACUGGGACUGAGACACGGCCCAGACUCCUACGGGAGGCAGCAGUAGGGAAACUUCGGCAAUGGACGGAAGUCUGACCGAGCAACGCCGCGUGAGUGAAGAAGGUUUUCGGAUCGUAAAGCUCUGUUGUAAGAGAAGAACGAGUGUGAGAGUGGAAAGUUCACACUGUGACGGUAUCUUACCAGAAAGGGACGGCUAACUACGUG